rnacentral:rRNA from 1 species
UACGUAGGGAGCAAGCGUUGUCCGGAAUCAUUGGGCGUAAAGCGCGCGUAGGUGGCUCUGUAAGUCCGUUGUGAAAGUCAAAGGCUCAACCUUUGAAAGCCGAUGGAUACUGCAGAGCUAGAGUACGGAAGAGGCGAGUGGAAUUCCUGGUGUAGCGGUGGAAUGCGCAGAUAUCAGGAGGAACACCAAUAGCGAAGGCAGCUCGCUGGGACGUUACUGACACUGAGGCGCGAAAGCGUGGGGAG